rnacentral:rRNA from 1 species
UUGACUGCGAGCGUGACGGCGCGAGCAGGUGCGAAAGCAGGUCAUAGUGAUCCGGUGGUUCUGAAUGGAAGGGCCAUCGCUCAACGGAUAAAAGGUACUCCGGGGAUAACAGGCUGAUACCGCCCAAGAGUUCAUAUCGACGGCGGUGUUUGGCACCUCGAUGUCGGCUCAUCACAUCCUGGGGCUGAAGUAGGUCCCAAGGGUAUGGCUGUUCGCCAUUUAAAGUGGUACGCGAGCUGGGUUUAGAACGUCGUGAGACAGUUCGGUCCCUAUCUGCCGUGGGCGCUGGAGAAUUGAGGGGGGCUGCUCCUAGUACGAGAGGACCGGAGUGGACGCAUCACUGGUGUUCGGGUUGUCAUGCCAAUGGCACUGCCCGGUAGCUAAAUGCGGAAGAGAUAAGUGCUGAAAGCAUCUAAGCACGAAACUUGCCCCGAGAUGAGUUCUCCCUGAGACUUUAAGUCUCCUGAAGGAACGUUAAAGACGAUGACGUUGAUAGGCCGGGUGUGUAAGCGCAGCGAUGCGUUGAGCUAACCGGUACUAAUGAACCGUGAGGCUUAACCUUACAACGCCGAAG